GACGAACGCUGGCGGCGUGCCUAAUACAUGCAAGUCGAGCGGACUUUCAAGAAGCUUGCUUUUUGAAAGUUAGCGGCGGACGGGUGAGUAACACGUGGGCAACCUGCCUGCAAGACGGGGAUAACUCCGGGAAACCGGGGCUAAUACCGGAUAAUAUCUUCCUUCGCAUGAAGGAAGGUUGAAAGGCGGCGCAAGCUGCCGCUUGCAGAUGGGCCCGCGGCGCAUUAGCUAGUUGGUGAGGUAACGGCUCACCAAGGCGACGAUGCGUAGCCGACCUGAGAGGGUGAUCGGCCACACUGGGACUGAGGCACGGCCCAGACUCCUACGGGAGGCAGCAGUAGGGAAUCUUCCGCAAUGGACGAAAGUCUGACGGAGCAACGCCGCGUGAGCGAAGAAGGUCUUCGGAUCGUAAAGCUCUGUUGUCAGGGAAGAACAAGUACCGUUCGAACAGGGCGGUACCUUGACGGUACCUGACCAGAAAGCCACGGCUAACUACGUG
rnacentral:rRNA from 1 species